GGGUUCCUGCGCAACGGUAAUCGGCGCAGGGUGAGUCGGCCCCUAAGGCGAGGGCGAAAGCCGUAGUCGAUGGGAAGUUGGUUAAUAUUCCAACACCUUUUGUUACUGCGAUGGGGGGACGGAGAAGGCUAGGCCAGCGCGGCGUUGGUUGUCCGCGUUCAAGCGAGUAGGGAGAUCUCUUAGGUAAAUCCGGGGGGUCAAUUCCGAGACGCGAUAACGAGCUGUCAAGGCUUCGGUCUGACGGUGAAGUGGUUGAUGCCAUGCUUCCAGGAAAAGCCUCUAAGCUUCAGGUAACAAGGGACCGUACCCCAAACCGACACAGGUGGUCAGGUAGAGAAUACCAAGGCGCUUGAGAGAACUCGGGUGAAGGGACUAGGCAAAAUGGUACCGUAACUUCGGGAGAAGGUACGCCGCUUGGGGUGAUCGGACUUGCUCCGUGAGCUCCGGGCGGUCGAAGUGACCAGGUGGCUGCGACUGUUUAUUAAAAACACAGCACUCUGCAAACACGAAAGUGGACGUAUAGGGUGUGACGCCUGCCCGGUGCCGGAAGGUUAAUUGAUGGGGUCAGCCGCAAGGCGAAGCUCUUGAUCGAAGCCCCGGUAAACGGCGGCCGUAACGAUAACGGUCCUAAGGUAGCGAAAUUCCUUGUCGGGUAAGUUCCGACCUGCACGAAUGGCGUAACGAUGGCCACACUGUCUCCACCCGAGACUCAGUGAAAUUGAACUCGCUGUGAAGAUGCAGUGUACCCGCGGCUAGACGGAAAGACCCCGUGAACCUUUACUACAGCUUUGCACUGGACUCUGAAUCUGUUUGUGUAGGAUAGGUGGGAGGCUAUGAAGCCGGAACGCUAGUUCUGGUGGAGCCAACCUUGAAAUACCACCCUGACAUAUUUGGGGUUCUAACCCAGGCCCGUUAUCCGGGUCGGGGACAGUGUAUGGUGGGUAGUUUGACUGGGGCGGUCUCCUCCCAAAGAGUAACGGAGGAGCACGAAGGUACCCUCAGCGUGGUCGGAAAUCACGCUUUUGAGUGCAAAGGCAUAAGGGUGCUUGACUGCGAGAGCGACGGCUCGAGCAGGUGCGAAAGCAGGUCUUAGUGAUCCGGUGGUUCUGAAUGGAAGGGCCAUCGCUCAACGGAUAAAAGGUACUCCGGGGAUAACAGGCUGAUACCGCCCAAGAGUUCAUAUCGACGGCGGUGUUUGGCACCUCGAUGUCGGCUCAUCACAUCCUGGGGCUGAAGCCGGUCCCAAGGGUAUGGCUGUUCGCCAUUUAAAGUGGUACGCGAGCUGGGUUUAGAACGUCGUGAGACAGUUCGGUCCCUAUCUGCCGUGGGCGUUGGAGAUUUGAGGAAAGCUGCUCCUAGUACGAGAGGACCGGAGUGGACGAACCUCUGGUGUUCGGGUUGUCACGCCAGUGGCAUUGCCCGGUAGCUACGUUCGGACGGGAUAACCGCUGAAAGCAUCUAAGCGGGAAGCCUCUUCCAAGAUGAGAUCUCCCCGGGGACUCGAUCCCCCUGAAGGGUUGUUCAAGACCAGGACGUUGAUAGGUGGGGUGUGUAAGCGCUGUGAGGCGUUGAGCUAACCCAUACUAAUUGCCCGUGCGGCUUGACCG
rnacentral:rRNA from 1 species